rnacentral:rRNA from 1 species
AUUGAACGCUGGCGGCGUGCCUAACACAUGCAAGUCGAGCGGUAACAGGUGUAGCAAUACAUGCUGACGAGCGGCGAACGGGUGAGUAAUGCUUCGGAAUCUACCUUAUGGUGGGGAAUAACUAGCCGAAAGGUUAGCUAAUACCGCAUACGUCCUACGGGAGAAAGCAGGGGAUCGCAAGACCUUGCGCCAAAAGAUGAGCCGAAGUCGGAUUAGCUAGUUGGUAGGGUAACGGACUACCAAGGCGACGAUACGUAGCUGGUCUGAGAGGACAACCAGGCACACGGGGGCUGAGACAGGGCCCGUACUCCUACGGGAGGCAGCAGGGGGGAGUAUUGGACAAUGGGGGAAACCCUGAUCCAGCGACGCCGCGUGUGUGAAGAAGGCCUGCGGGUUGUAAAGCACUUUUAGUGGGGAUGAAAUGUGCAGGGUUAAUACCUCUGCAUUUUGACCUAACCCACAGAAAAAGCACCGGCUAACUCUGUGCCAGCCGCCGCCGUAA